AUUAGACUUUGUAACAACUAGACGUAACAAUACAAAAAGGUUAAAACUGUAAUUCUCCGAUCAUUCUUUAGCAUCACGUGACUAUUUUAUUGCUGAACCGCCAACACUUAGUUCUUUCUUAUAAUCUAUAAUUAUUAGGGUCUGUCAAUGAUAAUUCUGAAAGGGAAGGAAAUAGGCGUGGACUUACCGUAUCAAACACUCUGAGAUAUUUAUAGAUAUAAUGUUGUGUGGGGUCUGUAGGGGAUUUCGUAAAGGAAGGAACAAUUGUAUCAGUGAUUAGUGGCUAGUCCAAAAUUGCAAUUCAACUGAAUUCCACAAUUGAAAAGCAAAACCAUAAAUUUGUCAAAUUACAAAAAUCGCUAUAAUAUCCAGCAUGCUAAAGUACGUCCCCACGCCCAAAAUCAGCAGCGCAAACAGUCCCAGCACCGCAUUCUUCACCAGCUGCCACCUCAGCCACCCGAAAUCGUGCGGCCACCGGAAGAUCGUGUCCAGCACCACCGGGGUCAUCAGCGCCAGCGUAGCCGACCCGAUCGAGCCCACAAACCCAAUGAACGGUUCCAGCUGGGGCACCAACAUCGCCAGACCCACGUUCGCCACCAGAAUGGCAAACCGGAUACCGGCCUGGGCCAGGUUGUAGCGCGCCUCCGGAAUCCGGUGUCCGAUCUUACGCCAUAGGAUCUCCAUCGGGACGUAGUAGUAGAGGCCGGUCGUGAAGAUGAUGGCGCCGGCCGCCAGGAGUUGGGUUGAUUUGGCUAAUCUGAAGAUUUAGGGUAGUAUUUGUAUUGAGAAGUUGGCAGUUUGAAGAAUCUCACAUUUGAUCAUUCGGGAGAUUCAACGUGAUAGAGCCCUUCGUUUCCUCUCCGUACAGGGCGUACCCGAAAAAGCCGGUUAUGUUGUACAAGAUGGUGAUCGAGCAGAUCGCGAUGUUCAGGACUCCAAAGCGGUGCAAGAAGUGCUGCGGGUGUUUCAUCUUGUUCUCCACGGGUAGCACGAUACCGAUGCCUUCAAUGGCGUAAACUGCUGUACUAGAAUGAAAAUGAAUGUAAGCCAGUCUAGAUGAUGAUCAUAUCCUCAAAAUUACCCGAAAAACGCCGGAAGAUUUGUGGCCUCUGGCCACAGACGUCGAUCGUCGAAGGUGAUCGGUUCCUUGAACACGUAAACCAUCGUGAUGACAAAUACAACGAUGAUCGAGGUGUUCGCGAUCAAUGAGAACGGAACCAGGUACUUCAGCUCUCGAACUUGGGUGAUAAUCGCGAUCGCGGCUGACGUUAGCAGGAUGUAGAUCCGGAUGCUCCAGUCGAGCUUGAACUCAUAGUUGAGCACGUCUCGCAGGGUUGUUGAAAUGAACACGAGGUAGACGCAGAUCGAGAAGAAGCUCACGAUCAGGACGAAUCCGGCAAACCUUCGCACCCCCGGAGGUCCGUUGGCGAACACAUUCUCCGCCGUUUCGGCGAAACCCAGCACCGGAAUG